rnacentral:rRNA from 1 species
GUAGGUGGCAAGCGUUGUCCGGAAUUAUUGGGCGUAAAGCGCGCGCAGGUGGUUCUUUAUGUCUGAUGUGAAACGCCCCCGGCUCAACCGGGGAGGGUCAUUGGAAACUGGGGAACUUGAGUGCAGGAGAGGAAAGUGGAAUUCCACGUGUAGCGGUGAAAUGCGUAGAUAUGUGGAGGAACACCAGUGGCGAAGGCGACUUUCUGGCCUGUAACUGACACUGAGGCGCGAAAGCGUGGGGAGCAAACAGGGAUUAGAUACCCUGGUAGUCCACGCCGUAAACGAUGAGUGCUAAGUGUUGGGGGGGUUUCCCGCCCCUCAGUGCUGCAGCUAACGCAUUAAGCACUCCGCCUGGGGAUACGGUCGCAAGACUG